rnacentral:rRNA from 1 species
UGGGGAAUAUUGCACAAUGGGCGCAAGCCUGAUGCAGCCAUGCCGCGUGUAUGAAGAAGGCCUUCGGGUUGUAAAGUACUUUCAGCGGGGAGGAAGGGAGUAAAGUUAAUACCUUUGCUCAUUGACGUUACCCGCAGAAGAAGCACCGGCUAACUCCGUGCCAGCAGCCGCGGUAAUACGGAGGGUGCAAGCGUUAAUCGGAAUUAUUGGGCGUAAAGCGCACGCAGGCGGUCUGUCAAGUCGGAUGUGAAAUCCCCGGGCUCAACCUGGGAACUGCAUUCGAAACUGGCAGGCUAGAGUCUUGUAGAGGGGGGUAGAAUUCCAGGUGUAGCGGUGAAAUGCGUAGAGAUCUGGAGGAAUACCGGUGGCGAAGGCGGCCCCCUGGACAAAGACUGACGCUCAGGUGCGAAAGCGUGGGGAGCAAACAGG